rnacentral:rRNA from 1 species
UACAGAGGUCCCAAGCGUUGUUCGGAUUCACUGGGCGUAAAGGGCGCGUAGGCGGCCGAUCAAGUCAGAUGUGAAAGUCCUGGGCUUAACCUGGGGACUGCAUUUGAUACUGAUUGGCUUGAAUGCAGGAGAGGAUAGCGGAAUUCCCAGUGUAGAGGUGAAAUUCGUAGAUAUUGGGAAGAACACCGGUGGCGAAGGCGGCUAUCUGGACUGUGAUUGACGCUGAGGCGCGAAAGCGUGGGGAGCAAACAGG